rnacentral:rRNA from 1 species
GACGAGCGCUGGCGGCGUGCUUAACACAUGCAAGUCGAACGGAAAGGCCCUGCUUUUGUGGGGUGCUCGAGUGGCGAACGGGUGAGUAACACGUGAGUAACCUGCCCUUGACUUUGGGAUAACUUCAGGAAACUGGGGCUAAUACCGGAUAGCAGCUCCUGCUGCAUGGUGGGGGUUGGAAAGUUUCGGCGGUUGGGGAUGGACUCGCGGCUUAUCAGCUUGUUGGUGGGGUAGUGGCUUACCAAGGCUUUGACGGGUAGCCGGCCUGAGAGGGUGACCGGCCACAUUGGGACUGAGAUACGGCCCAGACUCCUACGGGAGGCAGCAGUGGGGAAUAUUGCACAAUGGGCGGAAGCCUGAUGCAGCAACGCCGCGUGCGGGAUGACGGCCUUCGGGUUGUAAACCGCUUUCGCCUGUGACGAAGCGUGAGUGACGGUAAUGGGUAAAGAAGCACCGGCUAACUACGUG